GAUGAACGCUAGCGAUAGGCUUAACACAUGCAAGUCGAGGGGCAGCAUGGUCUUAGCUUGCUAAGACUGAUGGCGACCGGCGCACGGGUGCGCAACGCGUAUGCAACUUGCCUCACAGAGGGGGAUAACCCGUCGAAAGACGGACUAAUACCGCGUACACUCCAUCUUGGGCAUCCAAGGUAGAGGAAAUGAAAUUCGCUGUGAGAUAGGCAUGCGUCCCAUUAGCUAGUUGGUGAGGUAACGGCUCACCAAGGCGACGAUGGGUAGGGGAACUGAGAGGUUGAACCCCCACACUGGUACUGAGACACGGACCAGACUCCUACGGGAGGCAGCAGUGAGGAAUAUUGGUCAAUGGGCGAGAGCCUGAACCAGCCAAGUCGCGUGAAGGAUGACUGUCUUAUGGAUUGUAAACUUCUUUUAUACGGGAAUAACAAGAGUCACGUGUGACUCCCUGCAUGUACCGUAUGAAUAAGCAUCGGCUAACUCCGUG
rnacentral:rRNA from 1 species